GUCAAGAUGGCCGAGUGGUUAAGGCGCCAGACUUAAGCUCUGGUCUUCGAGAAAGGCGUGGGUUCGAACCCCACUCUUGACA
rnacentral:tRNA from 1 species